UAAGUCAGUGGUGAAAUCCCAUCGCUUAACGAUGGAACUGCCAUUGAUACUGUUAGUCUUGAAUGAGGGUGCAGUGGUUGGAAUGUGUAGUGUAGCGGUGAAAAUGCAUAGAUAUUUACACAGAACACCGAUUGCGAAGGCAGAUCACUAACCCUAAGUUGACGCUGAGGGACGAAAGCGUGGGGAGCGAACAGGAUUAGAUACCCUGGUAG
rnacentral:rRNA from 1 species